rnacentral:rRNA from 1 species
UACGGAGGGUGCAAGCGUUAUCCGGAUUUACUGGGUUUAAAGGGUGCGUAGGUUGCCCGAUAAGUCAGUGGUGAAAGGUCGUAGCCUAACUACGGAUGUGCCAUUGAUACUGUCGAGCUAGAAUUAAUAUGAGGUACUUGGAAUGCGUCAUGUAGCGGUGAAAUGCUUAGAGAUGACGUAGAACACCAAUAGCGAAGGCAGAGUACCAGUAUGGAUUGACACUGAGGCACGAAAGUGUGGGGAGCGAACAGG